AUUGAACGCUGGCGGCAGGCUUAACACAUGCAAGUCGAGCGGGGUGAUGGUGCUUGCACUAUCACUUAGCGGCGGACGGGUGAGUAAUGCUUAGGAAUCUGCCUAUUAGUGGGGGACAACAUCUCGAAAGGGAUGCUAAUACCGCAUACGUCCUACGGGAGAAAGCAGGGGAUCACUUGUGACCUUGCGCUAAUAGAUGAGCCUAAGUCGGAUUAGCUAGUUGGUGGGGUAAAGGCUUACCAAGGCGACGAUCUGUAGCGGGUCUGAGAGGAUGAUCCGCCACACUGGGACUGAGAGACGGCCCAGACUCCUACGGGAGGCAGCAGUGGGGAAUAUUGGACAAUGGGGGGAACCCUGAUCCAGCCAUGCCGCGUGUGUGAAGAAGGCCUUAUGGUUGUAAAGCACUUUAAGCGAGGAGGAGGCUCUUUUGGUUAAUACCCAAGAUGAGUGGACGUUACUCGCAGAAUAAGCACCGGCUAACUCUGUGCCAGCCGCCGCAGUAA
rnacentral:rRNA from 1 species